AGUAUCAUUAGAAGAGCUAAUUAAUUCGCCUUGAGCGAAUUGGCAUUUCUGUCAAAAAUUUGUGCCAAGGCGAAUUUGCUUUGUUUACAUAUUUCUUUGUUUCUACAUUGUUACUCAAAGUAUUUGUAGCAGUUAUGAAACACAAAAAAUAAAGAUUAUCCGUACAUAAUAUCAUAGUAUUAUUGCAUUGUUGAAUGCAAAUAUGGUGAAAUGUGUAUUGUGCGCAAAACGAUGAUCUCGGUAUGGUAGACGCUUAUGCUGCAGAAGGCGAUGUGCUUGUUUUCCUAUACUAAAAUAUGAACAGCAGGCUGAGCCUCUUGUCCAGUGAAGGUUAUGGAUUUCAUUAGUCCCAAUACGUUUGAAUAAAACGCAAGUCCUUUGGUGUGUAGUGGCUUCAAUUGGGGGGUUACAUUACAAAUGAAUCAACGGAAUGAAGAUGAACAAUUUAAAUGUCAAUUUAAAACACUAAUAAUGGCUGGUUACUUAUUUGCGGUAAAUGGACACUGUUUCAAAUAGAUUGGUGCUUACGAUGACGGAAUGGAUAUAUUUGGUGGACACAUUUUCUGCAAAAGACGGUCCCAUUCAGUGCCCGAUUGUAAGGAUAGCAUGAAGCGCAAAUCAAUACAUCCAAAAUCCAAAUAGUUAUUAGUUUGAAAUAAACUAAUUUUUUAUAUGCGAACAAAUCCACUUUUAAUUCGUAAAUUAGCAAACAG